CGUAGGGUGCGAGCGUUAAUCGGAAUUACUGGGCGUAAAGCGUGCGCAGGCGGUUCGUUAAGUUCGUUGUGAAAGCCCCGGGCUCAACCUGGGAAUGGCAAUGGAAACUGGCGGGCUUGAAUGCGGCAGAGGGGGGUGGAAGUUCCGCGUGUAGCAGUGAAAUGCGUAGAGAUGCGGAGGAACACCGAUGGCGAAGGCAGCCCCCUCGGGCCGGACAUUGACGCUCAGGCACGAAAGACGUGGGGAGGCAAACAGGAUUAGAUACCCUCGGUAGUCCACGCCCUAAACGAUGCUCACUAGGUGUUGGGGAAGCGAUUCCUUGGUACCGUAGCUAACGCGUGAAGUGAGCCGCCUGGGGAGUACGGCCGCAAGGUUA
rnacentral:rRNA from 1 species